UACGGAGGAUCCAAGCCUUAUCCGGAUUUAUUGGGUUUAAAGGGUGCGUAGGUGGCUUUUUAAGUCAGGGGUGAAAGACGGUAGCUUAACUAUCGCAGUGCCUUUGAUACUGAAGAGCUUGAAUGAACUAGAGGUAGGCGGAAUGUGACAAGUAGCGGUGAAAUGCAUAGAUAUGUCACAGAACACCAAUUGCGAAGGCAGCUUACUAUGGUUUUAUUGACACUGAGGCACGAAAGCGUGGGGAUCAAACAGG
rnacentral:rRNA from 1 species